rnacentral:rRNA from 1 species
UACGAAGGGUGCAAGCGUUACUCGGAAUUACUGGGCGUAAAGCGUGCGUAGGCGGUUUGUUAAGUCCGCUGUGAAAGCCCUGGGCUCAACCUGGGAAUUGCAGUGGAUACUGGCAAGCUAGAGUGCGGUAGAGGAUGGUGGAAUUCCUGGUGUAGCGGUGAAAUGCGCAGAUAUCAGGAGGAACACCAACGGCGAAGGCAGCACUCUGGGCCGGUACUGACGCUGAGGAGCGAAAGCAUGGGGAGCGAACAGG